rnacentral:rRNA from 1 species
UACGUAGGUGGCAAGCGUUGUUCGGAAUUACUGGGCGUAAAGGGCGCGUAGGCGGUGUGUCAAGUCAGGCGUGAAAGCCCCGGGCUCAACCUGGGAACAGCGCUUGAGACUGGCACGCUCGAGUUCGGGAGAGGAUGGUGGAAUUCCCAGUGUAGAGGUGAAAUUCGUAGAUAUUGGGAAGAACACCGAUGGCGAAGGCAGCCAUCUGGACCGACACUGACGCUGAGGCGCGAAAGCGUGGGGAGCAAACAGG